AAAAAACAUGGACAGUCGUUCUACCGAGCUAUCACCCGCUCGGUGUAAGAUCUUCCUUUUAUCGU
rnacentral:pre_miRNA from 1 species